rfam:Gasterosteus aculeatus cont1.005889, whole genome shotgun sequence.
UGCACUCAUUGUAAGUCGCUUUGGAUAAAAGCGUCAGCUAAAUGACAUGUA